UACGAAGGGGCUAGCGUUGCUCGGAAUCACUGGGCGUAAAGCGCACGUAGGCGGAUUGCUAAGUCAGGGGUGAAAUCCUGGAGCUCAACUCCAGAACUGCCUUUGAUACUGGCGACCUUGAGUCCGGGAGAGGUGAGUGGAACUGCGAAGUGUAGAGGUGAAAUUCGUAGAUAUUCGCAAGAACACCAGUGGCGAAGGCGGCUCACUGGCCCGGAACUGACGCUGAGGUGCGAAAGCGUGGGGAGCAAACAGG
rnacentral:rRNA from 1 species